UGGGGAAUUUUGGACAAUGGGCGCAAGCCUGAUCCAGCAAUGCCGCGUGCAGGAUGAAGGCCUUCGGGUUGUAAACUGCUUUUGUACGGAACGAAAAGCCUCUCUCUAAUACAGGGGGGUGAUGACGGUACCGUAAGAAUAAGCACCGGCUAACUACGUGCCAGCAGCCGCGGUAAUACGUAGGGUGCAAGCGUUAAUCGGAAUUACUGGGCGUAAAGCGUGCGCAGGCGGUUUUGUAAGACAGUGGUGAAAUCCCCGGGCUCAACCUGGGAACUGCCAUUGUGACUGCAAGGCUGGAGUGCGGCAGAGGGGGAUGGAAUUCCGCGUGUAGCAGUGAAAUGCGUAGAUAUGCGGAGGAACACCGAUGGCGAAGGCAAUCCCCUGGGCCUGCACUGACGCUCAUGCACGAAAGCGUGGGGAGCAAACAGGAUUAGAUACCCUGGUAGUCCACGCCCUAAACGAUGUCAACUGGUUGUUGGGGGAUUUAUUUCUUCAGUAACGAAGCUAACGCGUGAAGUUGACCGCCUGGGGGAGUACGGCCGCAAGGUU
rnacentral:rRNA from 1 species